rnacentral:lncRNA from 1 species
GGAAACAACGCUUCUGAGACUUUCCAUGGUCUUUGGAAUUUACUGGGGUUUGUAAGACCCGCCAUGAUCUGCUCCCAACUCCUCUUCAGCCUUCUCUGUGGUUCAGACGAGAGGAACCACCAGCCUUCCCUAGACAGGCCGCAAGCUCUUCAGUCUCCUUUUCUGAUAAUUCCACUGAGAUAUCUCACUAGCAGUUCAAACUCAAAAAGUCCAAAAGCUAAACUCAUCAUCUUCCCCAAAACCCGCGUCUCCUCUUUUUGCCGACUCGAAGAAAUGCGCCACCUUCAGCCUUCGGUCUAGUUACUCAAGCCGGAAGCCCGAGGACCGUUCUACACUCCUCUGUCUUCACAUCAGAUCCAGGCACCAAGUUCUACUCCUCCUACUUGUAAGUCUUUCUGAAACGCAUCUUAUCUCCUGCUCCCUGCCCCUCUUUCUUCAAACUCCCAUUAUUUUCUCACAUGGAUCCCCGGCCUAAGGUACGUCUCUGCUCCCAGCCCCUUCUUUAACCUCCAUCUCUAUCACCUCUCCAGUCCAUCUCGAAUACAGCCGCGAAGUAUUCAUAAAUACAAAUACAAUCACAUAAUUUACCCUCACCUCCAGCGGAAAUUCUCCCAGGGUUACUCACAACCUUCCUCCUCAAAGCUAACCAUGUCACUUCUUUCAAAGUCUUUUGGUGACGGGUCACUGUGCCAAAGUUAUAAAGUUCAUGCACAGAUAACAAAACAUAUAUUUGUUUUGUCUCCUUGUCUCUCAGUGAUAAACCCAUGUGAUAUUUACAUUAAUAGAUAAUCAGAAGAGGGAACUGGUCAACAAAUAUGAAAGUAAAACAAAAACCCAAAAAGGGACAAUGCUAGAAGUGACAUUUGAACUGAAUGCAAAUGGAGUUAGAGAAGAAAC